CUCUUCUUCCUCUACAGGUAUUGCUUCUGACCAUCCGAGGGCAAGCACACUCUUCCUGAGAAAGUAUCAAAUGAGUGUGAAAGGAAAGAGGAGAAGCUUUCGCCUAUAUUCUAUACCUCCUUGCCAUCUUGAUAGAAAAUACAGCUCGUGUUCCACCAUAUUGCUAGAUAACAGCACAGUCAGCGAGCCUGAUCCAGGCACACAUUAGAAAGUGUGACUUUGGCAAUAUAUUACAACAUAAAGCACAGAUAUGCAAAUAGAUCUCUGGCUAUUUUUGAUGAGCCAAUACAUCCACUUUCACGAGAAAAGAUUCCAGGGAAAUCCUUUGAGGAUGAUCCCAAACGCAACUGCAUUUUCAGAUAUUUCUGUAAUCUUUUU